rnacentral:tRNA from 1 species
GGGCCAGUGGCUAAGCCAGGUAUAGCGACAGGCUCUUAGUCCUCUCAGCUGCUGCUGAGUGGUAGAGGCACUUGUUGGUCGGGGGUUCAAAUCCCCCCUGGCCCGCCA